rnacentral:rRNA from 1 species
UUGCUUCUUUGCUGGCGACCGGCGCACGGGUGAGUAACACGUAUCCAACCUGCCCUUUACUCGGGGAUAGCCUUUCGAAAGAAAGAUUAAUACCCGAUAGCAUAAUGAUUCCGCAUGGUUUCAUUAUUAAAGGAUUCCGGUAAGGGAUGGGGAUGCGUUCCAUUAGGUUGUUGGUGGGGUAACGGCCCACCAAGCCUUCGAUGGAUAGGGGUUCUGAGAGGAAGGUCCCCCACAUUGGAACUGAGACACGGUCCAA